rnacentral:tmRNA from 1 species
GGGGACGAACCGGUUUCGACGAGGAUGAUGAAGCGUCUCUUGCGUGUCGCGGAGCCUUCGGCCGCGUUAAAAAAAGGUAAACUUUUAAGUGCCAACGAUAACGUUGAGUACGCCCUCGCUGCUUAAUCUAGGUUAAGCUUUGAGGCCGGAGCCCGCCCUGUGUCUGCCGUGGGUGGUGCUCCAUCAUAUAGGUGGACUGGCUGGCGCGUGGGGCCUGAGCGCGCGUCAGUAAGAUUUAGCCAGGACGUCGCGGUUACACCUUGUCCCAUGGGGGGUGCCGAUGCCGUACAAAUCAUAGGACUACACACGUAGACGGUCGCGUGGAACAUUUUCGGACCCGGGUUCGACUCCCGGCGUCUCCACCA